UACGUAGGGCGCAAGCGUUGUCCGGAAUUAUUGGGCGUAAAGAGCUCGUAGGUGGUUUGUUACGUCUGCUGUGAAAACCUAGGGCUUAACCCUGGGCCUGCAGUGGAUACGGGCAGACUAGAGGUAGGUAGGGGAGAAUGGAAUUCCCGGUGUAGCGGUGAAAUGCGCAGAUAUCGGGAGGAACACCGGUGGCGAAGGCGGCCGGCUGGGGGCGCCCUGACGCUGAGGCGCGAGAGCGUGGGGAGCAAACCGG
rnacentral:rRNA from 1 species